UUAAAUAAUCGCAUACAUUAAAAAUGAUUUCAUCAUUAAAGCACUUGAUUUCGUUUUGUUGAAUAGGUGUUAUUUUUGUUUUUAGUUCUUUAUACGUAAAUAUUAAAGGAAGGUAUCAAUCAUCAAGGUAUUUGUUAUAAUCUUCAAAAUAACAUAGCUUGGACAAUUGUUUUUUUUCGCCUUUUACAAUUGCAAAUUUGACCUAUAUAAUUACCUUUUAUAAUUAGCCUCUAUAAUGGCAUUUCCUAUGCAAAAAGGCAUUGAAUAUUUUAAUGGUGAUAUUUUAUGCCAAUUAACACUGGAGGAAUCAAUAUUGAGACCGUGUUAUUUUGUUAUACAGAAAUAUUUUACACUUAAGAAAAACUAAGUUUGAAAACAUUGUAGAUCACUUUUUAGGUCACUAAAUUAACAGGAUGAAUAUUUAAGCAAAGCUCAAAUUAAAUAAUUAAAUACUGACAAAGUAUUUUAAGUAAAACUGGUAAAGCGUUUGCAUACUUUAUUAUUAUUUUAAGUGAUCAUUUAACCAUUAUUUUUGAUAGAUAUAAAUGGGUAUAUUCUUGGUAAAUAAAGUGUUGCUCCUACUAUGGACAAUUUUGUCUGGUUGAUCUAAGAUUGAAAUAACAUAAAAAAAUAAUAAAAAAUAACAUUUUUAAGACAUGUCUACAAAAUCAGGUAAAAAUAAUCACCUUCUUCCAUAAUUUCUAUUAUCACAUUUUAUGCAAAUUUAAGUGACUUUCUUUUCAUUUCAUAGGGAAGUCCACAUCACCAGAAAUGACUACUACACCAGCACCGGAGAUGUCUACAGCACUAGAUUUCAAUCUUUUUCACUACAUCCCACAAGGUAUCAAACAAAGCGCUAAAGAUGUUGAAA